rnacentral:rRNA from 1 species
CGUAGGGCGCAAGCGUUGUCCGGAAUUAUUGGGCGUAAAGAGCUCGUAGGCGGUUUGUCGCGUCUGCUGUGAAAACGCGAGGCUUAACCUCGCGCCUGCAGUGGGUACGGGCAGACUAGAGUGCGGUAGGGGAGACUGGAAUUCCUGGUGUAGCGGUGGAAUGCGCAGAUAUCAGGAGGAACACCGGUGGCGAAGGCGGGUCUCUGGGCCGUUACUGACGCUGAGGAGCGAAAGCAUGGGGGAGCGAACAGGAUU